rnacentral:sRNA from 1 species
UCACCAGCGACAACACGGCCUGUGUGC